GUCUAUGGCCAUGCCACCCUGAACGUGCCCGAUCUCAUCUGAUCUCAGAAGCUAAUAAGCAGGGUCGGGCCUGGUUAGUACUUGGAUGGGAGACCACCUAAGAAUACCAGGUGCUGUAAGCA
rnacentral:rRNA from 1 species